AUUUUAUCCUAUUUGAUCUACAUAAAAUGUAAAAGUCAAUACCUAAUUUAUGCAACAUGUUAUUUGUAAAUGGAGAUUUAACAAUAGGGUAGAAUGCAGAAAAGACAUUCUGCUCUUUUCUGAUCUACAGGAAGUAAUUCAAACAUUUUUAAGUGCAAACAUUUUGGAUUUGUUUCUUGAACAUCCCUGUCAACAAGUUUUUAAAUUUAUAAUUAUAGUACAAUUUAAUAGUUAUUACUGAUUUACAGUGCUGGGGUGUGGUAGAAUGUGUCGUCAUUUACCUCAUUGGUGACUUUGUAUCAUUUGUUAGUUCUAAAAACAUAUUUCAAUGAAGUAAAUGCAUUUGCAAAUAAAUCUUCUUUGAAAAGUUUUAUUUUAAUUAAGAUUGAUGGUAUUGUAAUUCAUUACUCUAUUACACAAUUUUAUCAACCAUUAUCUACAUAUUAAGAUUCAAAAUUCAAAACCUCCUUUGUAAUGAAUAAAAGUAUCCCAUCUAGAAAUAAAACAUGUUAACAUAACUUUAACAACAUAGAAGAAUUGAUAAAGGACAUACUUGACUCUUCUGAUCUAGGGGAAGUAACUCAAACAUUUUAAUUCAAUGUAAAUUACAAAUAUAUUGAGUACAGUUAUGGAAUUGUAUGUGAUUAACAUUUUGAGGGUGUGUAAAUAUCUGUGUUGUGCAUACUCAUAGUAUAUUUUUGACUGUAUGUGUCAUAUGAUAAUUAUAACAAAAAAAUAUAUCAAUGACAGUUAAAUUUAUUUGCUAUGUACAUUUAUCUGCUUUAAGUUUGCUAGUACAAAAUGAAUUGUAAGUGAUUACUUUGUAAAACAUUUUAUCUGUCUUGUCUACAUAAGAUAUCAAAUUAAGAACCUCAUUUAUGAUAAAUACAAGUAGCCUAACUCAAAAUAAUCCAUGUAAACAUAGCUUUGGUAUCAAGGACAUUCUGUACUUCUCUGAUCUAGGGGAAGUAACUCCUUUUUUUUAUAAUUGUUUGUUAUAACCUAAAUAAAAUGUUUCAAAAUGUUUCCUAUAGGUAUGGUGAGGUUGUUUUGAAUUUUUUAUGUCAUUGUUUUAAUAUGAUUUUUGUUCAUAUAUCAAAUUGUUUUCCCAAAAAGUAAAAAUAAGAUUUCAUUCUACUCACUGAAACAGUCUUAUCUUUAUUUAUCUUCACAUUCAUUGCAUUUGGUUGACUUUAUUUCUCACAAUUUUCAAAUGAAAAGAAGAUCUAAGUAUAAUAAACAUGUGAAUAUUUGUAUUUGCUGAAAGAUGAUGUAAAGUUAAUAUCUGAUUGCCAAUAUUGGUAAUUCAAUAAAAUAUGCUUUUUCACAGGUAUUUUGUUUUUAAAAAUGUCCCACUGAUUAUACAGGAUUUUUUUUAUUUAAUGAAAAUUAAACUGACUAUACUGACAAGGUUAUUUCUGAUUUUUUUUCUUUUAAUUGUUUUAUUGAUGAGUACAUACAGAUUUAUCAGAAUAUUCAACUUCCAUAUCAACCGAAUUUAUUUAAUUAUUACAGAGAGACAACUCAAAAAUUCAUAUAUUCUAUAUUCUGAUUUGUUGAUAAAAUUAAUUUAAUGAAGUUCAAAUGAAAAGAUGCUGUUUCAGAUGAAUGGCUUAUAAUGCAGUCAGAUAUAGCUGUUAUAUAUACAUUCCAAAAUGAAGUUAUAACUGUUGUGGCUUGUAAUUAAAUUAGAACUUUACAUUGUUGUUUAAUUCUUAUUAUUUCUGACAAAGAAAAAAGACACUAGUUGAUGUUAAUGGCAAAUUUGUAUAAAGAACAGGGCAGAUGUGGG
rnacentral:lncRNA from 1 species